rnacentral:rRNA from 1 species
CCCUUAGAUGUCCUGGGCCGCACGCGCGUUACACUGAUGCAUUCAACGAGCUUAUAACCUUGGCCGAGAGGCCUGGGCAAUCUUGUUAACGUGCAUCGUGAUAGGGAUAGAUUAUUGAAAUUAUUAAUCUUGAACGAGGAAUUCCUAGUAAACGCAGAUCAUCAAUCUGCAUUGAUUACGUCCCUGCCCUUUGUACACACCGCCCGUCGCACCUACCGAUUGGGUGGUCCGGUGAAGCCUCGGGAUUGUGGUUCUUGCCGCUUUGUUGUGGCGUGACCGCGAGAACUUGUCUAAACCUUAUCAUCUAGAGGAAGGUGAAGUCGUAACA